rnacentral:ncRNA from 1 species
GCAGGAGAGGUGCGGCUUUCAUCAGUACCUUCGGAGCGGGACCGCGGCGGUCCGGGUGCUCCGGGGGAAAGGGGACGCCGCCGAAGAAUCGGGCUGUGCCGCCGCCCGGCUCUGGGCGUCAGGUCAACAGCCUGCCGACUGUCAUCUGAGCCAUUCAGAUGGAGCGCUGUCUG